rnacentral:rRNA from 1 species
AUUGAACGCUGGCGGCAUGCUUUACACAUGCAAGUCGAACGGUAACAGGCCGCAAGGUGCUGACGAGUGGCGAACGGGUGAGUAAUGCAUCGGAACGUGCCCAGUCGUGGGGGAUAACUACUCGAAAGAGUAGCUAAUACCGCAUACGAUCUAUGGAUGAAAGCGGGGGACCGUAAGGCCUCGCGCGAUUUGAGCGGCCGAUGUCAGAUUAGUUAGUUGGUGGGGUAAAGGCUCACCAAGCCAACGAUCUGUAGCUGGUCUGAGAGGACGACCAGCCACACUGGAACUGAGACACGGCCCAGACUCCUACGGGAGGCAGCAGUGGGGAAUUUUGGACAAUGGGCGCAAGCCUGAUCCAGCAAUGCCGCGUGCAGGAAGAAGGCCUUCGGGUUGUAAACUGCUUUUGUACGGAACGAAACGGCUCUGGUUAAUACCCGGGGCUAAUGACGGUACCGUAAGAAUAAGCACCGGCUAACUACGUG